rnacentral:tRNA from 3 species
AAGGCCUUAAGUUAAACUUAAACUAAUAACCUUCAAAGCUAUAAAUAAAGGGUGUCCUUUAGGCCUUG